AGCAGCCGCGGUAAUUCCAGCUCCAAUAGCGUAUAUUAAAGUUGCUGCAGUUAAAAAGCUCGUAGUUGAAUUUCGGAACCAAUAUGUUGGUUGUGCCUCGGUACGUACUGGCAUUGUUGGUUUCUCCCUUCUGACGAACUAUGAUGUCAUUAAUUUGGUGUCAUGGGGAAUCAGGACUGUUACUUUGAAAAAUUAGAGUGUUUAAAGCAAGCUCACGCUUGAAUACAUUAGCAUGGAAUAAUGAAAUAGGACGUUUGAUUCUAUUUUGUUGGUUUCUAGGAUUGACGUAAUGGUUAAUAGGGAUAGUUGGGGGCAUUAGUAUUCAAUUGUCAGAGGUGAAAUUCUUGGAUUUAUUGAAGACUAACUACUGCGAAAGCAUUUGCCAAGGAUGUUUUCAUUAAUCAAGAACGAAAGUUAGGGGAUCGAAGACGAUCAGAUACCGUCGUAGUC
rnacentral:rRNA from 1 species